UCACCUCCACAGGCUGGCCGGCCCCCAGGCUGGGCUGAGCGAGUAUCUCUUCGAAACGCUGGCUCACCCUCAAGCAGGACUAGGAGC
rnacentral:pre_miRNA from 1 species